AUCGGAUCGCCCUGAUGCCUAACAGCUAGCCCGCCCAAACAAUUUCAACGAUUCAAUCUUGAUAACCCCAAAGGACACUUAACUUAAAUUAAACAAACCAUUUUUCCACCUUAGUAUAGGCGAUAGAAAAGGACAUACGGCGCUAUAGAGAAAGUACCGCAAGGGAACGCUGAAAGAGAAAUGAAACAACCCAGACAAGCUAAGAGAAGCAGAGAUUUAACCUCGUACCUUUUGCAUCAUGAUUUAGCAAGUGUAACUUAAGCAAAGAGACCUAUAGUUUAAUGCCCCGAAACUACGUGAGCUACUCCAAGACAGCCUAUUAAUAGGGCACACCCGUCUCUGUUGCAAAAGAGUGGGGCGAGCUUUGAGUAGAGGUGACAGACCUACCGAACCUAGUUAUAGCUGGUUGUCCAAGAAAUGAAUAGAAGUUCAGCCUCCCGGCUUCUCUUUUCACAUUAGUCUAACACCUAUUGAUGUAUUUAAGAAACCAUGAGAGUUAGUCAAAGGGGGUACAGCCCCUUUGAACAAAGACACAACUUUAUCAGGAGGGUAAAGAUCAUAAUAAACCAAAGGGAAGUACUCUGGUGGGCUUGAAAGCAGCCAUCCUCUAAGAAAGCGUCAAAGCUCAAGUACCCUACUUAAAUCCUCUUAUCCUGAUCACCAAAUCUUAUCCCCCUAUCUAUACUGGACCAUCCCAUGCCUUCAUGGGAGCGAUUAUGCUAAUAUGAGUAAUAAGGGAGCCAAUGCCUCCCUCCCCGCACACGUGUACAUCGGAACGGACAACCCGCCGACCUUUAACGAACCCAACCAAAGAGGGACCUGGGUAAUAAACUAAAUAACUAGAAAACUACCCAACAUUUGACCGUUAACCCCACACAGGUGUGCCCCCGGGAAAGACUAAAAGAAAGAGAAGGAACUCGGCAAACACAUAAAGCCUCGCCUGUUUACCAAAAACAUCGCCUCUUGUAUUCAAUAAAUAAGAGGUCCCGCCUGCCCUGUGACUAUAAGUUUAACGGCCGCGGUAUUUUGACCGUGCGAAGGUAGCGCAAUCACUUGUCUUUUAAAUGGAGACCUGUAUGAAUGGCAUAACGAGGGCUUAGCUGUCUCCUUUUUCCAGUCAAUGAAAUUGAUCUCCCCGUGCAGAAGCGGGGAUUACUACAUAAGACGAGAAGACCCUAUGGAGCUUUAGACACUAAAGUGGAUCAUGUCAAUGACCCUAAAUAAAGGAUUGAACAAGAUGGAACCCACCCUGAUGUCUUUGGUUGGGGCGACCGCGGGGAAGUAAAUAACCCCCAUGUGGAAUGGGAGCACCCCUCCUACAGCUGAGAGUUACAACUCUAAUAAACAGAAUUUCUGACCUAAAAGAUCCGGCAAUGCCGAUCAACGGACCUAGUUACCCUAGGGAUAACAGCGCAAUCCUCUUUUAGAGCCCAUAUCGACAAGGGGGUUUACGACCUCGAUGUUGGAUCAGGACAUCCUAAUGGUGCAGCCGCUAUUAAGGGUUCGUUUGUUCAACGAUUAAAGUCCUACGUGAUCUGAGUUCAGACCGGAGUAAUCCAGGUCAGUUUCUAUCUAUGCUGUGCUCUUCUCUAGUACGAAAGGACCGAGAAGAGGAGGCCUAUACCACUGGUACGCCUCUCCCUUACCUGUUGAAUUUAACUAAAACAGACAAAAGGGCAUACCCCCCUGCCGGAGAUUACGGCAUGUUAGGGUGGCAGAGCCCGGUUACUGCGAAAGGCCUAAGCCCUUUCAACAGAGGUUCAAAUCCUCUCCUUAGCUAUGAUAUCCACCAUUAUUACCCAUAUUAUUAAUCCACUAACCUUUAUUGUUCCAGUACUACUAGCCGUUGCUUUUCUAACAUUACUUGAACGGAAAGUACUGGGAUAUAUACAACUUCGUAAAGGUCCUAACAUCGUUGGCCCUUACGGUCUCCUUCAACCUAUUGCUGACGGACUAAAGCUAUUCAUUAAAGAACCGAUUCGACCUUCAACAGCCUCCCCCCUCCUGUUCCUUUUAGCUCCCAUUCUAGCUUUAACCCUUGCCCUUGCCCUUUGAGCACCCAUGCCAAUCCCCCACCCAGUAAUUGACCUUAAUCUAGGUAUCAUAUUUAUUCUUGCCCUAUCUAGUCUGGCAGUCUACUCUAUUCUUGGCUCAGGCUGGGCCUCCAAUUCUAAGUAUGCCUUAAUUGGAGCCUUACGAGCCGUAGCCCAAACCAUCUCCUAUGAAGUAAGCCUAGGCCUUAUUUUAUUAAACAUCAUCAUCUUUACAGGAGGGUUUACCCUACAAACUUUUAAUGUGGCUCAAGAAAGCGUCUGACUAAUCAUCCCCGCCUGACCCCUUGCAGCUAUGUGAUACAUUUCUACCCUAGCUGAAACCAACCGUGCCCCCUUUGAUUUAACUGAAGGUGAAUCCGAACUAGUCUCUGGCUUUAAUGUAGAGUAUGCCGGGGGACCAUUUGCCCUUUUCUUCCUUGCAGAAUAUGCCAAUAUUCUUCUUAUAAACACUUUAUCCGCCACCCUCUUUUUAGGGGCCUACCACAUCCCUUCUUUUCCAGAACUAACUGCUGUAAAUCUUAUAACUAAAGCGGCCUUAUUAUCAGUAGUAUUUCUUUGAGUACGGGCCUCAUACCCUCGGUUCCGAUACGACCAACUCAUACACCUUAUCUGAAAGAAUUUUUUACCGCUUACUCUUGCCCUAGUAAUUUGACAUCUUUCCCUCCCCAUUGCCUUUGCUGGUCUUCCACCACAAGUGUAAACGGAGCUGUGCCUGAAGUAAAGGGCCACUUUGAUAGAGUGAA